rnacentral:rRNA from 1 species
UACGAAGGGUGCAAGCGUUACUCGGAAUUACUGGGCGUAAAGCGUGCGUAGGUGGUUCGUUAAGUCUGAUGUGAAAGCCCUGGGCUCAACCUGGGAAUGGCAUUGGAUACUGGCGAUCUAGAGUGCGGUAGAGGGCAGUGGAAUUCCCGGUGUAGCAGUGAAAUGCGUAGAGGAGGUCGGAGGAACAUCUGUGGCGAAGGCGACUGCCUGGACCAGCACUGACACUGAGGCACGAAGGCCAGGGGAGCAAACGGG